rnacentral:rRNA from 1 species
UACGAAGGGGGCUAGCGUUGCUCGGAAUCACUGGGCGUAAAGGGUGCGUAGGCGGGUUCUUAAGUCAGAGGUGAAAUCCUGGAGCUCAACUCCAGAACUGCCUUUGAUACUGAGAGUCUUGAGUUCGGGAGAGGUGAGUGGAACUGCGAGUGUAGAGGUGAAAUUCGUAGAUAUUCGCAAGAACACCAGUGGCGAAGGCGGCUCACUGGCCCGAUACUGACGCUGAUGCACGAAAAGCGUGGGGAGCGAACAGG